rnacentral:lncRNA from 1 species
GUUAAAUUUCUGAAAACAAUUUUUAUGAACCCCUUAGAAAAACGAUGUUAUUUUAUCAUACUAUCAUACAUACCUUACGAUUUCAGGUUGGUUGUUAUCACAAGCUGCGUGUAUUGGUGUUGCUCCCCAAGCAGUCUUUGAGUUCAAACUAGCCCCUUGAAUAACUAAUAUAUGUAAUAUGUCCAAAAAUCCGCGACAACAUGCCCAGAAUAAUGCAGUUCCAUCAUUUUUCGAACCUUGUAUAUCAAUAGCAGUAUACUUUUUGUUCAUUAAUAUUUUUUUCGCUGUUUCUUUAUCUCCACAGCGUACUGCAUCUAUUAACGAAAACGCCAUUUCACCAAAUACCGUUUCAAAAUGUGUUUACCUGUUAUAACUGACUAAGGGAAAAACCUAUUGAACAUUAAACCAACCAAU